rnacentral:pre_miRNA from 1 species
GAUUUAAACUGAAAAAGUCAUCAACAACAAAGUUGUAUAACUCACCAAUAUCUNUAANUUUUAUUUUUGUCAUUUCUUCAUCCGACAAAGUGAUAGUAACAUUGUCACAAAAUUUACAUAUCUCUCUUAUAGUUUAUAAAACCAUGUAAGAGAUGUAAAUUUUGUGAACAAUGUUACUAUCUUUUUAUCGGAUGAAGAAAUGACCAAAAUAAAAGUUAUAGAUAUCAGUGAGUUAUAAAACUUUGUUAUUGAUUACUUUUUCAGUUUAAAUU